rnacentral:rRNA from 1 species
CGAAAGCCUGACGGAGCAACGCCGCGUGAGGGAGGAAGGCCCUUGGGUUGUAAACCUCUUUUGAUGGGGAAGAAUCCUGACGGUACCCAUCGAAUCAGCAUCGGCUAACUCCGUGCCAGCAGCCGCGGUAAUACGGAGGAUGCAAGCGUUAUCCGGAAUUAUUGGGCGUAAAGCGUCCGCAGGUGGCUUUUCAAGUCGGCUGUCAAAGCAUGGAGCUUAACUCCAUAGAGGCGGUGGAAACUGAAAGGCUAGAGGCCGGUAGGGGUAGUGGGAAUUCCCAGUGUAGCGGUGAAAUGCGUAGAGAUUGGGAAGAACAUCGGUGGCGAAAGCGCACUACUGGGCAGGACCUGACACUGAGGGACGAAAGCUAGGGGAGCGAAAGGGAUUAGAUACCCCUGUAGUCCUAGCCGUAAACGAUGGAGACUAGGCGUAGCUUGUAUCGACCCGAGCUGUGCCGAAGCUAACGCGUUAAGUCUCCCGCCUGGGGAGUACGCACGCAAGUGUGAAACUCAAAGGAAUUGACGGGGGCCCGCACAAGCGGUGGAGUAUGUGGUUUAAUUCGAUGCAACGCGAAGAACCUUACCAGGGCUUGACAUCUGUAGAACCUGAGUGAUAGCUUGGGGUGCCUUCGGGAGCUACAAGACAGGUGGUGCAUGGCUGUCGUCAGCUCGUGUCGUGAGAUGUUGGGUUAAGUCCCGCAACGAGCGCAACCCUCGUUCUUAGUUGCCAGCAUUAAGUUGGGCACUCUAGGGAGACUGCCGGUGACAAACCGGAGGAAGGUGGGGAUGACGUCAAGUCAGCAUGCCCCUUACGUCCUGGGCAACACACGUACUACAAUGGUCGAGACAGAGGGCAGCGACCUCGCAAGAGCAAGCGAAUCUCAUCAAACUCGGCCUCAGUUCAGAUUGCAGGCUGCAACUCGCCUGCAUGAAGGAGGAAUCGCUAGUAACCGCCGGUCAGCAUACGGCGGUGAAUUCGUUCCCGGGCCUUGUACACACCGCCCGUCACACCAUGGGAGCUGGCCACGCCCGAAGUCGUUACCCUAACCCCGAAAGGGGAGGGGGAUGCCGAAGGCAGGGCUAGUGACUGGGGUGAAGUCGUAACAAGGUAGCCGUACCGGAAGGUGUGGCUGGAUCACCUCCUUU